AAGUAAGUAAGAUCCCUCAAAGACGAUGAGGUAGAUAGGUUCGGGGUGGAAGCGUGGCGACACGUGCAGCUGACGAAUACUAAUCGAUCGAGGACUUAACCAAAUA
rnacentral:rRNA from 1 species